CAAUGGGCGGGGCUGAGAGCUGGGAGCUCCACCCCCACUUUGGUUAGGCUCACUCAGUCUAAACCGCAGCCCCCGAAAUUGGGAGGAAAACAGCUGUGCUGAAUUAACUAGGGAUCUGGGGCCGACCAUUUGAAAGUCUGCUCUUCUUCCAAAGAGAGUUUGGGGCCUUGCCUGCUGGACUCUUACAUGAUGGGGUCUCGCCAUGUCACCCACGCUGGUCUUGAACUCCUGGGCUCAAGCGAUCCUCCUGCCCCAGCCUUCCAAAGUACUGGGAUUACAGGUAUGGAACAGGCUGACAGAGCUGGAUCCAAAGGGCUCAGAAUGGAGCAACCAAGGUGUAUUCACCUGAUGCUUUGGUCUCCCUAAGCUCUUCCAUAGAAACGAUCAUAUAUCACCUCGGCAAUUGUUUUACGAUUUCUCACUGUGUUUCUCAGAAUGGUCUCAGACUCCUGGCCUCAAGCGAUCCUUCUGCCUGAGCCUCCCAAAGUGCCGGGAUUACAGGCAUGAACCACUGCACUCAGCCUGUUUUCAACCUUAUAUAAAUGGAAUCCUACUGUAUGUGCUUUUUGAUAUCUGGGCUCCUUUGCUCUAUAUUAUGUCUGUGAGAUUAAUAAACUUGUUUGUUC
rnacentral:lncRNA from 1 species